rnacentral:lncRNA from 10 species
CCACCUCGAAUUCCGCCUGCAGAGCUGAGACGAUGGCCAUGAAUGCUGCCACAAUCCCACCUCACGUGUGCACCUCGUAGUCACUACUUUUCCUCCAGACAUUUUCUCAAGCCAGAAGAAUGAGCACAGCCCACAUCUGAAGCAGCCUGAGAGGCUGGGCCUGCAGGGGAGAUACCGGCCCUAUGGAAGGCAGUUGGUGGGCAAAAGUCCGGUUUCUACGCUUUGAGGGGACACCUGUGGGGCACCCUGAGGCCCAGCCCUGCUGGGCUGCUGGCCUUUGGACUGGAGCUACACCAUCAGCUCUCGGAGGUCUCCACUCGCCAACUCACCCUGCAGAUCACGGAACUUGUCAGCCUCCAUAACUGCAGGAGCCAAUGCCUUAUAAUAAAAUCUCUUUCUCUUGUCUUUUCUCUUUCUCUCUCUCUAGAUAGAUAGAUGUAUGAAACAAGGAAGCAGAAAAGAAAGAAUGAUAGAAGAUAGACGAUAAAUAGAUAGAUAGAUGGAAAAAGGAGGAAGAAAAAAAAGGGUAUCCCAUUGUUUCUGUUUCUCUGGAGAAACCCAGUGAACACAGAUUGUGAUCCCUCAUUAGAAUCUAAGUACCAGGAGAACAGAAACCUUGUCUUUCGUGAUCAUAAUCCUAUAAACAACAAAAAAAAUUAACACCUGGGUCAUUAGCUCAGAGGAAUCCAAGAUGGAAAUGGCCAGAGGAUGGAACAGGUUGUUUUCCCAGAUGAAGCCUC